UAGUGGCGCACGGGUGCGUAACGCGUAACCAACCUACCCACAUCUGGGGGAUAGCCCGCCGAAAGGCGGAUUAAUACCGCGUAAGCUACUUGGCCGGCAUCGGUUGGAUAGUAAAGAUUUAUUGGAUGUGGAUGGGGUUGCGUGCCAUUAGCUAGUUGGGGGGGUAACGGCCCACCAAGGCGACGAUGGCUAGGGGAGCUGAGAGGCUGGUCCCCCACACGGGCACUGAGAUACGGGCCCG
rnacentral:rRNA from 1 species